rnacentral:rRNA from 1 species
GGACCUGAUGCAGCCAUGCCGCGUGUGUGAAGAAGGCCUUCGGGUUGUAAAGCACUUUCAGUUGUGAGGAAAAGUUAGUAGUUAAUACCUGCUAGCCGUGACGUUAACAACAGAAGAAGCACCGGCUAACUCCGUGCCAGCAGCCGCGGUAAUACGGAGGGUGCGAGCGUUAAUCGGAAUUACUGGGCGUAAAGCGCACGCAGGCGGUUUGUUAAGCUAGAUGUGAAAGCCCCGGGCUCAACCUGGGAURGUCAUUUAGAACUGGCAGACUAGAGUCUUGGAGAGGGGAGUGGAAUUCCAGGUGUAGCGGUGAAAUGCGUAGAUAUCUGGAGGAACAUCAGUGGCGAAGGCGACUCCCUGGCCAAAGACUGACGCUCAUGUGCGAAAGUGUGGGUAGCGAACAGGAUUAGAUACCCUGGUAGUCCACACCGUAAACGCUGUCUACUAGCUGUUUGUGACUUUAAGUCGUGAGUAGCGAAGCUAACGCGCUAAGUAGACCGCCYGGGGAGUACGGCCGCAAGGUUAAAACUCAAAUG